UCCAUCUCCUGACAGCCUUUCGCACCGAUCUCUGCGUCUCUGUUGUUCUACGUCGUUCACGUCCUCCUCCUCCGCCUCCUACUCCUCGUGAUCGUUACUACGCCACCCGAUAUCCGUGGUCUUUCUCUCUUCGAGCGCAAACUUUCCCUUUUUGACACAUUGAAGAAUGGCGGGUAACGGCGUACCAGUGUUAUUGGUCACUGCGAAUGUUGGCAGUAUCUUCGAGGAGCCUAACACGAUGUUGAAAAUUUGGACGGAAGAAUUUUUAUCUACUAUACUGAGGCUGGAUCCAAAAUUUAUUGCACUGCACUGCCAAGAAGUAGGUGGAAAAAAUUAUGAGCACAGCACCAGGCAGGUGGAAGACUUUGUUAGGUUACUAAUGUCAUCAGAAGAAUUAAGGCUAUUUGACAAAAUUAGAGUGUUCUUGGAUGAGGAUUACUCAUCUGCUGAGCAUUUUACGGCACUUGGAAAUUUUUAUUUUGUGCAUGAAUCUUUGAAAGAAGUUUUAUUAUGGGACUUCCAAGAAUGUACUUUUAUACCAGUGAACGGAAAGGAGGUUCAUUCUGGUAAUAUAGAAGCAGUCACGACCAAAGAAAAAGCAAAGUUCCCUCAGGAAUUCUUUCCAGAAUGUAAAUGGUCCAGAAAAGGAUUUCUGAGAACACGAUGGAGUAUUAGCGGAACAGUUUUUGAUCUCAUAAACAUACAUUUAUUUCAUGACGCCAGUAAUUUCAUUGCUAUGGAAACGUUUCCAUCUGUAUACAGUAAGACGCGUAGGAGAGCGCUCGAGCAUACGUUAGAUAGGUUUCAUAACGAUAAAUAUGCAAAUGUACCAUACUUUUUAUUUGGAGACUUUAAUUUUAGAACGGACACAGCCGGGGUAAUCAAAAAACUCACGGAAGAUACUCAAGAAAGAAGGUUAUCAAACAAAGGAAGUAUUUCGAAAUUGCAGUUUCACAAUAAAGACGAUGAUCUCAUAUUAACAUUAGGAAAAAAGGAGUUUUCUCAUUACGAGCAUCAGAAUGUUUUUGUGCAAAAUAGUGGAGAGUGGCUACGUGAAUAUGACAGAGAGCUGGAAGACUUUGAUGGAAGAUUAUUUGAAUUUUCAAUUAAGUUCGUACCCAGUUAUCCAUUUGAGGAAGAUAUCAAUGAAGGUUCGAAUUAUAUGCAAACAAGAGUACCGGCUUGGUGCGAUCGUGUUCUGCUGAGUCCUACUGCUAAAAUGCUAGUCCAAGACAUAUCAUCGCCAGACGCUGUGGAAUAUGGAAUAAUUGGUCCAACAACUUGCAUGGGUGAUCAUAAGCCAGUCUACUUGAGGGCUAAUCUCAUUAUGGACGAAGGUAUGAUAAACUGCUGCAGCUUGCCGAGUGCACCUGAGUUUUGCUUUCGAGUGCCAAGCAAUUACGUGGAGUUGUUGUCCAUGUUGCCUGAUUACAGUAGUUACGUUAGCGGACGGGUCAAUUACACGGACCGUUCGGCUAACUUGUUGCACGCAGCACCUAUUAAGCAUGAUCCUUACACUCCGGAUAGCAUGGACAGCCCGAGUCCAAAUGCUAUAAUAUCAGCCUCGAGUGAUGUCCCAGACGUAGACGUAGAUAACAUGAACAGCGUGUCCACGUCGCAGUUCGCCCAGACGUCGAACUUGGCCAAACGUCUGAACAGAGCUGUAUCGCCUGCUCUCCUCAAAUCCAAGCUGGAGCUGAUUGUUCAGAGCAAAAAGCAAGAGGCGAUGGACGCGAAUCAAGACACGAGUGAUAUCAAAAGGAGCCCUAGCGAUUGCUGCUUACAUUCAUGGCCGAACGACGACGAGUGUAAAAACGAGUGGGCCGCAAGAACGAACAGAUGCAACAGCGAUGUGUCUUGGCAGCGAUCGCACCUCUUAACCGAGAUAUGGAUCCAGAGCAAAGGGCAACAUUCGUUUGGUGAUUUCAUCAACCGAUUGUCCAUGGAUUCGACUCCGCCGAACGAUGUCGAGGGUUUGCCGCCCGACUUGAUCAUACCAAGGAUAUCGAUAAUAAAUGCCAGUAAUUUCGAAUCAAACGAGAGUUCCGUGUACUUGCACGACGACAAGUACAGUGAUUAUUCGGAUAAGAAACUGAGCACCUACUCGGACGACCAGACAAAGAGCUUGAGCGGCGAGGCGUUCAGUUCAGAAAAAUCGGAUGAACUUUGCGAUAAGAUCGACGACGAGAGCAACAGACUGAGCUUAAAUACGAAGAGAAUAGAGAUAAAUGAAAGCAUAUAUUUGCAGAACAUAAGCGAGCUUAUAGGAAAAUCGGACAAGAAUCCCUGUGCAAUGAUGGUUAGUACAAAUCUUUUUAACGCAGGCAAUAAGACGAGCGAGGAACGAAUGCUCGAAGACAGAGAGAAACGAUUGAAUCAAGUUAUAAAUACGUUAGAUAGCACGGAGGAUAAUAAUAGUAAAAAUCAACGGGCACUGACGGAUGAUAAGACAAGUAUUAAAAAUAGAAAUAUAAUUUCGGAAACACUUCCGACAAACGAACGAACAUCUGAACUGUCGCAAGUUACUACGAAAGCAGAGCAAAGAACAGUUCGCCACGAAAGGAACGAAACAGAGGACAAAUUGGAAAACACGGAGACAGAGAAGAUAAAAUUUGAACAGGAUACGUGCAAUGAGACGAACGUUGAAGAUUUUGAACAAGUAGAAAUAUCAAAAUGUGAUAGCAAAUGUGAAAUGAUAAUUUCAAAGCAGGUAACGAAUAGCGAUUUUGUACAGAGUCAAAGUAGCAGCGAUAAUGCAUUGAAAGUAUGUAAAUCUGACGUAGAAAAUUGUAAGGACGAUGUUGUUGGAAAGGAGAAUAAGUGUCAGAAAUGUUGCUGCGUUAUAUCGUGAGAGGGAAACGCGAGUUUCACACAUGUUCCUUGUUAUAGUCAUCGUUCGCGAUUUUUCACCGAAUAACUAAACUAUCGCAAGAACGAGAUCGAAGAAGUCAUUUAUUAAGGUUCCACUUCGUAAGAGAUAAGAAGCAAGGAAAGAGCGGUGUUUUUGUUUCGGUCACUUAAAAUAUCCUGCUGACGCUCUAUCCGAUAGCAUCGAUUUUCUAUUGUACAUGCAUGUUUUCAUGUUCAAAGUGUCUUCUGCAUGUGCAUGAUACUCUAAUGUAACGUCGUAUGACGUCAAACUAUCUUUCUAGAGUAUAUUCGAACGAUAAAGUUACGUACUGUGUAUUUUCAUAUUUUAGACGCGCUGUUGAAUAAACAGUAUGUAUCAUUGUUGCGUAGUGGUACGUUACGUUAUGAUCUACAUUUUAACGAGUAAGAAUACCUAGAUGACUGUGUCAAUGUACGAUCUGUUAAGCAGUGUUACCAGUAUAUGUACUAGAUUCGUAAAACUCCCUGGUGAUCACGUUAUCCUAUUUCGUUAGUUUAUCAGAUAAGUUCUUCAAAUCGAGCAUGUAUCGAGCGUCGCUCGUUUACUUCGUAAGCUUUUGUUACAAUGACGGUUUUUUCUUUUUCUUUUUCGCUUAACUUUCGACCGUCUCAAUUUUAUCUCUUCGUUCGCGAAAACUCCAUACGUAGUAUGCAUUUUCAUUGAGACCGCGUACAAGAACAUGUGCUUCCACGUUGCACCGUAACCUUUGCCAAAUUCAAUGUAUCCUAUACGAUAGAAUGUUAGAAACGUACGUGUAGACGUGACACGCACGUAGUCCAUUAUUUGGGCUCGACUGCCAAAGUUACUUUCGUUUUAGUUAAUAGGAAGAAAGAUAUUAACUUAUACAGUAAAAGUGUUAGUCGUACGAUACGUAGUUUCCUUUACGUCACAUACAAUUAUUUAACAUUUUCUCUCCUGAUGAAACUAAGGUUCGUAACGUCUUUAAGAAAGAUUAGUGCCAAUGUUGUUUCAAUAUUAUUUAAUUGUAAAAUAAUUUGCAUACGAGUAUACUGAACAUAUCUGCUUCCUGUCUUGCCGAGAAAAAUUUUACGCAAUAUGAGAAACAGUCAUUUAAAACGUUCAUACGUAGUAAGAAAUAAUUUAUUUUGCCAAACGAAUUCCACACAUUUGGAUCUUGAUCGUAAUAAAUGCCGCAGAUUCGAAUAACCGAUAUAUCGUGCAUUUGUUUUCGGCUCCACUACGCUUACGACCUAGAAGAGACGUCUUAUUGACGUGACGAACGAGGAGUCCGAGUCGGGUACGAUGUCCAGCUUGAGCAGUCGUGAGAUAUUCAA